rnacentral:rRNA from 1 species
CCUACGGGAGGCAGCAGUGGGGAAUAUUGCACAAUGGGGGAAACCCUGAUGCAGCGUCGCCGCGUGAGUGAAGAAGUAUUUCGGUAUGUUAAGCUUCAUCAGCAGGGGAGUAAUAGCGACCUUUGGGUCGCCAGACGGUACCUGAUUAAGAAGCCCCGGAUAACUACGUGCCAGCAGCGGCGGUAAUACGUAGGGGGCAAGCGUUAUCCGGGUUUUAUGGGGGUAAAGGGGGCGUAGACGGCAGCGCAAGUCUGAAGUGAAAUGCCGGGGCUUAACCCCGGAACUGCUUUGGAAACUGUGCAGCUAGAGUGCAGGAGAGGUAAGUGGAAUUCCUAGUGUAGCGGUGAAAUGCGUAGAUAUUAGGAGGAACACCAGUGGCGAAGGCGGCUUACUGGACUGUAACUGACGUUGAGGCUCGAAAGCGUGGGGAGCAAACAGGAUUAGAUACCCGAGUAGUC